CUCUCUCUCUAUCUCCCUCCGUCUUUUGUAGGAGCGAGUUAGCGGAGGGGUCUUGGUGGCAGAUGGGCAGGAGUAUCAGGGAUUGACUAAUCCCAAAUCUGCCGUCUCCUCACCACACCGAAACCAGGGGAGAGGCACGAGCCAGCUGCCACAUAGACGCCUUUCAUGCUCGUCUGCACACAACAGCUGCAGCAGGCCUGCCUGCUUGCUUCUAAAUUAUUAAACAUCUUUUUAGUUUGUUCCAGAUGCAGAGCCCGAUGUGCUUAUGGAGGCCUUUGUGCAUUUUACAUACCGUUCCUUUUCCCCUCCUCUCAUCAGAAUGCUGUUUGUAAAAGUCAUUAUCCCAUCUGCGCCGCCAGUUUGGACAAAACAGCCCAAGACGAAUCCAGCACGUUCCUCCAUUCCGGGACAGUUUGGGAGUUGAGGAUGACGGUGAUGAUGGAGGGCUGCAGGGGUUUGGGUAUCUCGCCUCUGAAACGCACAGGCCACCUGUAAACCGUCUCGCUCGCUGCUCCGGGGCGGCAACAGGAGUUUUGCAAGUAAGAUUUCAUCCUUUGGAAGGCGGCUUAAGAAAGAAUGAGCCUCUUUCACACACAGGUUGAAAUAAUCUGCUUCUCGUCGAGUCUUUCCCCCAAAGGCAGGCCGGCAAUGGCUGGCCUAUUAUUGCUGUGAAAAGGCGUUAGAGUCCUGAAUAUUCAUCAGGGAGAUGGAGGGGGCAUAGAGAGGGGCUCCAAAAUCCCACCGCACCGAUGGUCAGCUAAUGUACCAGGACACAGAAUGAAAGCAAAACAAAGUGGACUAGGGAAAGAUGGCGAGCAAGACAAAGGGAAUGUUUUGAGUGAUUUGGCAUGAGUUUUGCUGCACCCGGGCUGCUGGAUUGAAGUUAAUAAGCGUGCGAGAGUCCCGACGAGUCCCGACUCUUACCGUCUCCCCCCGUCCAGGCUGGAUCUCCAGAUGAGUCCUCCACGGCCCACACACACCAGAGACGAAUCUGGAUCCUCCACUGGAGCCACUGCACCUGUUGUUUUCAGGAGUCGGAGAAAGAUAGACACUCAUGCUCGGAGACCGUAUGGAAGAAUGAGAACAGGCAAUGUGUUUUGUUACUAAAGCCAAAAAAAAAAAAAAAAAAUGUUUGGUUCAAAUAUUUAGUCAAGAAUAAAAA